GGAGAGGUACCCGAGUGGUCAAAGGGAGCAGACUGUAAAUCUGCCGGCGCAGCCUUCGAAGGUUCGAAUCCUUCCCUCUCCACCA
rnacentral:tRNA from 2 species